rnacentral:tRNA from 2 species
GCUCAUGUAGCUCAGUCGGUAGAGCACGUCCUUGGUAAGGACGAGGUCAGCGGUUCGACUCCGCUCAUGAGCUCCA